ACGGGAGGCAGCAGUGAGGAAUAUUGGUCAAUGGGCGAGAGCCUGAACCAGCCAAGUAGCGUGCAGGAUGACGGCCCUAUGGGUUGUAAACUGCUUUUAUAAGGGAAUAAAGUGAGCUACGUGUAGCUUUUUGCAUGUACCUUAUGAAUAAGGACCGGCUAAUUCCGUGCCAGCAGCCGCGGUAAUACGGAAGGUCCGGGCGUUAUCCGGAUUUAUUGGGUUUAAAGGGAGCGUAGGCGGCCUUUUAAGCGUGUUGUGAAAUGUCGGAGCUCAACUUCGGCACUGCAGCGCGAACUGGAGGGCUUGAGUGCGCCGGAAGUAGGCGGAAUUCGUCGUGUAGCGGUGAAAUGCUUAGAUAUGACGAAGAACUCCGAUCGCGAAGGCAGGUGUCCGGGGUGUAACUGACGCUGAGGCUCGAAAGUGCGGGUAUCAAACAGGAUUAGAUACCCUGGUA
rnacentral:rRNA from 1 species